UUUUAUGUAAAAGAUUAUAUAAAGGAAAUAACUGAGUAAUAAUGCUAUAAACUAAGAUAUUCUUCAGGCACUAAUUGUGCCUGAGGUUUGCACAGCUCUCCUUCCUUGGUGCCCAUGUGAGAGGUUACCCCCACACAAGUAUACACUAGAGUUUUCCACUGUACAGUUGGAAGAGCUACAUAACUGGAUUUUCCAGUUGACUGCUGCAUAAUGUUAUGAAAUCUUAUAUGGGUAAAAGAUCAAUUUGAACCGUAAAAUAAACCAAUAAACUUUAGUGUAAGAGUCCAAAAUAUUCGUUCAUACAGUUUCAGAUUCCUCAUGGCAGCUAACCUUCAAGAAACUACCACUUGCUAAGUUAUGGUGUAGUAUCAAAAAAUAAUGUAUCAGCUGAAAGGUUAAAAUGCUUCUUUUUCCAGCCACUGGGUGUACCUGUGUGAGGCCAGGUUUUCCUCUUAUGCUUCAACCAAAGCAAUGUAUUGCAACAAACUGAAAGCCAGACAUUAAAGACAUUUGCCCACCAGAUACAGUGGCUCAGGCCGGUAAUUCUGGCACUUUGGGAGGCAUCCCAGGUAAUUUGUGUGCAGCUUAAAGUCUGAAAUGCCCUAGUGCAGUGAUUCUCAGGGGGACAGUUUUGACUUCUAGGGGGCAAUAUCUGUAGACAUUUUUGGACAUCACAAUGUGGUGGGGGGAUGCUACUAAUAUCUAACAGGCUAAGGCCAGGGUGCUGCUAAACAUCCAGCAAUACCAGGCCAACAUCACCUUGGGCCCCUCCCACAGUAGAGAAUUAUCCCACCUGAAUUGUCAGUAGUGCAGAGGUGGAGGAAGCCCUACACUGUGUAAUUCAUCCGACCUUUACUAUGAAGUUCCUGAAACUCCUGGUGUAUAUCAUUUCUGUUGCCCUGGCUGAUAUUUCUACCUUUUCUCUUUUUUUUAGAUUUUAUUAUGAAGAACUCAUUCUGUUGAUCCCUAGGAAUCACCUAUUGCCUUGCUGUUUUGUUGAAUCUGUUUUUGAAUCUGCUUUCUACAUUGGGAAGAGCUAAGAAAACUUUUAAGCUAUUUACAGCUUUUAACAAUUCAGUAAAGUAUACUCCUGUUAACAAAAUUUGGGGCAUAUUUGUUUCUCUCUACCUGGUUUCUCCAGACUUUGGAAACUAUUUGUGCAGAAGCCCCAGGUUUAUCUUGGAACCUCAAGAGGAGAGGAAAUUCACCCAACUCAUAGAUAUUUGAUGGCACAAAUCCAUGGUUGGGCUCGGCUUUAAAAAGGUCUUAUCUGAGAUUCCUCCUGUGGAACAAAGUUCCAUCCAUGCCAAUUUAAAAACUUAUGUAAAAAAUUAUUAUUAUUCUUGCUGCACUGAAUACAAUAAUUAAGCCAAGUAUAAUAAAGCAAACCAGUCCUACUGUGAUUUGUCUUUAAUAAAAAUGGGAAACUAGAGAUAGAAAAAUUAUGUUUCAAAAUUAUAGUAGACCUGUUGUUAGAUUCUAGUCUUGGCUACUUUUUUUUUCAAUUUUUAUUAUUUUCUAUAGUUUGGACCGAAUUCUAAUUUUUCUUGACUACAAGUCUUCAAAAUAAUGUUUUCAAUUUCUUUUCCUUUUCUUUUCCCCAUUUUUCCUAAUUUAGAGUCACUGAAAACUAAGCUGUGCUUUCUUAAAACCCUGCGAACUGAAGCAGACAACUUCAGAAGAAAAUAACAGCAACCUAUUUACAAACAUAAGCCACUUUCAUAACUGCCUAGUAAUGUAUGGACUUCAGAGUAAUGUGGCCUAUAUCGAUUUUUCCAGGAUUGCUCUUUUGUUUGUUGUUGUUUUUUUCCCCUUUCCUCUCCAUUAUUUUCUCUUCACAGGACAUGAGACUUCACAACCUGUUAAAAAUGAGCUUUUGGGACCUACUCAUCUAGGAAUAAAGCAUUCUAGCUAUGAGAAAUCAGAUGAAACCUAAGACCAGAAACUCAUUUUCUUAUAAAAUGCUUUCUCCAAAGGAUUUCAAAAAAGAAAAAUGGGAAGAAAGGAAAAUAUCUUGGCCCCUGAAAUCACUAAGGAAAACUCAAGCUGGAAACUGCUUAGGGUGAAACUGCCUCCCAUUCUAUUCAGUCACUCCUCUGCUCACUGAGAUAGAUGCAUAUCUGAUUUGCCUCAUUUGGAAAGGUUAAUCAGAAACUCGAAAGACUAUAACCCUUUUUGUCUCACCUAUCUGUGACCUUAGUCUUCCUGCCUUUGCUUCAAGAUGUUCCGCAUUUCCACACCAAACCAAUGUACUUCUUACAUAUAUUAAUUGAUGUCUCAUGUCUCCCUAAAUGUAUAAAACCAAGUAUAAGACCAUGUAUAAGACCACCUUGGGCACAUGUCAUUAGGACUUCCUGAGGUUGUGUCACGGGCACAUCCUCAACCUUGGCAAAAUAAACUCUAAAUUAACUGAGGCCUGCCUCAAAUGUUACUGGUUUCACAUGAGUAACUCCUCUACAUGUCUUCUGCAUUCAACAGACACAUACUGAACAGGAAUUCCCUACCCUACUCCUGCUGGGUAUGAAGCCAGAUGCUAGGAUUGAAGAGCUUUCAUGGGUGGAUGUACAUGGAACAAAUGUGAACACAGCAGGAUGGAGAGGGAGAAGUACCUACCAAUGCUUUGACCCGUCCUUAGUCAGUUCUCCUGGAGAUGACAGAAAGAAGCAUGUUAAGAAUGGGAAGAAGCCUGGACUCGGUGGUUCACAUGUGUAAUCCCAGCACUUUGGGAGCCCAAGGCCCUUGCCAUUUUGGAGAAAAUCAGAAAAUCCUUGAUGCGUCUCCUGGUUCAAAAGGAACUGAAUAAGGAUUACAAGUAUCUAUCAACAGAUGAGAAACCUAAAGCUCAGAGGGGUUGUGUCUAGCCUCUGGCCACCCACCUGCUAAGUGCAGAAGCCAAUGUAGGAACGGGCUCUCUACCCGGGAACCCGUGCCCUUCACCGCGGGACUCUACCGCCCCCUAGUGGACCAUCUAGCCUUGCAUGGUCUCUCCUCCAGUUUCCACCCAGGUGGGAUGUCCAGCUGUCUCCACUCAUGAGAGGUAACUUCACAGUGGCUGUUUGCUGUUCCCAAGCACACCUCCUUCUCUUGUCCUAGUGCCACGCUGGCUGUGUUCUAACAAGUGGCAGCAGUGCUGAGUUUUGCUGCACACCCAGCGAGACACCCCAGACUCUGAUCUUCCAGGAGCACCCCGGGGGGAGCUUCAGAGGCUUCUGGCAGGAUUACCAGGUGUUCCUUACUGUGGUCCGUCAAUUCCUACAGGAGCAACCC